UGAAGAAUUUAUCCAACGGCGGGGGAUAGCCGGCCCAACGGCCGGGUAAUACCGCGUACGACCCUCGGGGGGCAUCCCUUGAAGGUGAAAGCCGCAAGGCGCCGAUGGAGAACUUCGCGGCCUAUCAGCUAGUUGGUGGGGUCAUGGCUCACCAAGGCGACGACGGGUAGCUGGUCCGAGAGGAUGACCAGCCACAUUGGGACUGAGACACGGCCCAGACCUCCGUACGGGAGGCAG
rnacentral:rRNA from 1 species